GUUAAUGAAUGUAAAUUGUCUUUGCUUGUUGAUUUGUAAUCAAUAGGUCCGCGGUUCGAAUCCGUGCGGGGGCACCA
rnacentral:tRNA from 1 species